rnacentral:rRNA from 1 species
UACGGAGGGUCCAAGCGUUAUCCGGAAUCAUUGGGUUUAAAGGGUCCGUAGGCGGUUUUGUAAGUCAGUGGUGAAAGCCCAUCGCUCAACGGUGGAACGGCCAUUGAUACUGCAAGACUUGAAUUAUUGGGAAGCAACUAGAAUAUGUAGUGUAGCGGUGAAAUGCUUAGAUAUGACAUAGAACAUCAAUUGCGAAGGCAGCUCGCUACACGGUUAUUGACACUGAGGCACGAAAGCGUGGGGAUCAAACAGG